ensembl:lncRNA novel transcript
GUGGAAUGAAAAAACUAAAGAGACAACUGACUUACCACACAAAUGGACUAUGGUAGAAGCUGCUGUCCCUUAGUAUUGAAUAUCUCUAUUUUCUUUUAAUCAUAGAAUUCACUGAUAUUUUAGCAGAUAAUGUGGCCGUCCAGGCAGGCAUGAGAUUUCUCAGCCUUACUUCAACUUGAUUAUGACCAUGUGACCCAAUUCUGACAUUUGCCUAAAGGAAAAUUUACCUAAAAAGGCGUUUUCUUGCUAUGGCAGUGUAACCUGUACUAAUAAAUAUAGUGCUAGUCCUGCAUGCAACAAAAAUGAUGGUUUUAACCUGCCCAAAGGAUGGAAAAAGAAGAACAUAAGCAUAAUUUCUGAAUGCAUCACGGCAAAGAUGCAUGUACUCAUGAAGCAUAAAAUUAAAAAUAUGAUACAUUCACUACAUGAAAA